rnacentral:rRNA from 1 species
GGACUCAUUAAGACGCGAUGAAUACGUCCCUGUUCUUUGUACACACCGCCCGUCGUUAUCGAAGAUGAAGACAGGCGCGAACGAUCUACCAGAAAGUGAGCGCAGGUCUUUAGAUCUGAUACAAGUCGUAACAAGGUAGCUGUAGGUGAACCUGUAGCUGG